rnacentral:tRNA from 1 species
GGAGAGAUGACUCAGUGGUUAAGAGCACUGACUGCUCUUCCAGAGAACCUGGGUUCAAUUCCCAGCAUCUACA